rnacentral:misc_RNA from 1 species
UGCUCCCUGACCUGCUUGAUUUAC